rnacentral:lncRNA from 1 species
AGGGUUAGGAUGAAACUUCUUUUAUAGAGGUUUGAGGACUGUUAUGAGUAAUAAAAGGUCUCUUCCCUAAGGCUUCCAUCAGACAGGGAAGGCUCUGCGUAUUUUUGAGACAUGUGGGAGAUUAAGGCCAAUUUGGCAUCCCAAGAUCAAGUCAUCAUUUAUUGCAUUUAAUGUCGCACAUUCUUUUCCCCUUUAAUAACAUUUAGGAUUUCCC